rnacentral:rRNA from 1 species
GUAGGUGGCAAGCGUUGUCCGGAAUUAUUGGGCGUAAAGCGCGCGCAGGCGGUUCGUUUAAGUCUGAUGUGAAAGCCCACGGGCUCAACCGUGGAGGGUCAUUGGAAACUGGAGAACUUGAGUACAGAAGAGGAAAGCGGAAUUCCACGUGUAGCGGUGAAAUGCGUAGAGAUGUGGAGGAACACCAGUGGCGAAGGCGGCUUUCUGGUCUGUAACUGACGCUGAGGCGCGAAAGCGUGGGGAGCAAACAGGAUUAGAUACCCUGGUAGUCCACGCCGUAAACGAUGAGUGCUAAGUGUUAGGGGGUUUCCGCCCCUUAGUGCUGCAGCUAACGCGUUAAGCACUCCGCCUGGGGAGUACGGCCGCAAAGGCUG